rnacentral:rRNA from 1 species
CUGAAACAUCUAAGUACCUGAAGGAAGAGAAAGAAAUUCGAUUCCGUAAGUAGCGGCGAGCGAACGCGGAUUAGCCCAAACCAAUAAAGUUUUCUUUAUCGGGGUUGCGGACAUAUCAUAACGAAGAGGUAUCGUAAUUGAAGAGGUUUGGAAAGACCCACCACAGAAGGUAAUAGUCCUGUAUGUUAAACGAGAAGACUUUAGAUAUGAUCCAGAG